rnacentral:sRNA from 1 species
GUUUUGAGCAGAUUAUUUAGAGCUAGAAUAAAAAAACAAAUGUGGCCUGCUUCCUUUCUAGCAUUGUUUAGUUCAAUUGGGAAAACAUUUUUUAGACUAUUGUAUACUUAUUAUAGGCAGAAAUCGUGUAGGAUAAUGUUUAUAGAAAUUAUGUUUUAUUUGAAUGUUCUUUUAAAAUGAAAAUUUUCUUUACAGAACUUAUGUUGUGGAAUAGAUCUUUCCAACAAGGUUUCUCAUAUUCUUAUAGUUUUUUAUAUGUAAUAAAACAAUAGAGAAAUAUUUUGCCACCAGGUGACUCUCCUAUUCCAUCUGUUUCUUCGGGAUCAUCUUCACCUCUUUCAGCCACUUCUGCCCCACCAACAUUGGGCCAACCAAAAGGAGUCAGUGCCAGUCAAGAUCGAAAGAUACCUCCCCCGAUUGGAACAGAGAGACUGGCCCGAAUUCGGCAAGGAGGGUCUGUUGCACAAGCCCCGGCGGGGACCAGUUUUGUUGCUCCCGUUGGACACAGUGGAAUCUGGUCAUUUGGUGUCAAUGCUGUGUCAGAAGGCUUAUCAGGUUGGUCACAAUCUGUGAUGGGGAACCAUCCAAUGCAUCAACAAUUACCAGACCCAAGCACAUUCUCCCAACAUCAGCCAAUGGAGAGAGAUGAUUCUGGAAUGGUAGCCCCCUCUAACAUUUUUCAUCAGCCUAUGGCAAGUGGUUUUGUGGAUUUUUCUAAAG